rnacentral:rRNA from 1 species
UACGAAGGGGGCGAGCGUUGUUCGGAUUUACUGGGCGUAAAGGGCGCGCAGGCGGCUUUGUUUGUCAGGCGUGAAAGCCCCGGGCUUAACCUGGGAACUGCGUUUGAUACGGCAGGGCUAGAGUUCGGGAGAGGAGAGUGGAAUUCCCAGUGUAGAGGUGAAAUUCGUAGAUAUUGGGAAGAACACCGGUGGCGAAGGCGGCUCUCUGGACCGAUACGUGACGCUGAGGCGCGAAAGCGUGGGGAGCAAACAGG